CGCCGUAUGCCUUCGUAGGUGACCUGCGGAAGGAUCAUUA
rnacentral:rRNA from 1 species